UACGUAGGUGGCAAGCGUCGUCCGGAUUUACUGGGCGUAAAGAGCGCGCAGGCGGUCGCUCAAGUCGCGUGUGAAAGCCCCCGGCUCAACUGGGGAGGGUCACGCGAUACUGAUCGACUCGAAGGCAGGAGAGGGUAGUGGAAUUCCCGGUGUAGUGGUGAAAUGCGUAGAUAUCGGGAGGAACACCAGUGGCGAAGGCGACUACCUGGCCUGUUUCUUGACGCUGAGGCGCGAAAGCUAGGGGAGCAAACGGG
rnacentral:rRNA from 1 species